CAUAUAAGAAAAUGGAAAUAAGAAAUUUGGGGAACGGUCUUCAAAUUAGGGGAAAUACAUUUCUGUUUCCUCGUCUUCCACAUUCUCUGAAAUGGAACUGUUUUACAGUAGCAUGCCAACAGCCAUACAUUGAAUUAUACACACUGACAAGGAAGGGAGAUGCAUUUCAGGAGAGGAAAGGCAGAUUGCAUUCUGAGAUUGAGGUAGCAGAUAUUUGCUUGUAAAUGUAAGAAAAUGUGAGUGUGAGGCAUCAGAGUGUAGGAUAGGAGACCCACUCUGGAGCCAACUACCAGGAUUUGAAUCUUGACGGCCACUCACCUAACUGUCACACUGCACAAGUUACUCACUGUCUCUGCCACCAUUUCUUCCUUUGUUAAACGGAGGUAAUAAUCGUGCACAGUUCAGUGGGUCAGACUGGAGAUUAAGCGAGUCCGUAUUUGUAAAGAACAAGCGUGGUGGGGGAAUGCUGGUGUGGUUCCAGAUAAUAUAAACUCAAAGAUGAAGAAAGCUUGAUGCAGUUCCUACAUAAAAAUGGUUACCAUACUUGCCAACAAGACUGGAUCCUCCUGGGUGGUCGUUGGUGAAGAAGGGCCAGGGAGUCGUUGUUUGGUGGAAAGGCAGGUGAUGGACUUUCAUACAAUCAUUUACUGUUAGAAUUAGACCUACUUCGUAAUUUUCCUUAAGAAUUUGUUGCUGCUGCUUCCUUAAUGUUUAUAUUAUAAGACAGUAUACACCUUAACAUUCUUUCAAACUAUACUUCAAAUAAACCAUUCACCUAGCAACCUCACUCCCUCCUCCACUACUUACAGCUUUGCUAAUAAUGCUGUAUGAUCACGGCACUUGAUGAUAAUCCAUAACCUGUGAUUUUUCUAUCCACUGUAUUUGAUAGGUUUCAAGUUUUUCCAGUAAUCUCCUGAGAUUUCUCAGGACGUGAUGUGGUUUUCCAGAACAUACAGCUGAUUCAGAACUUUGUCUUCAUUUGCAAAAAUUAUAUAUACGGCCAGCUGCGCCAAAAGAAAGUUGGGACCAUCUUAUGGUUAUUCUGUAUGUACUCCAAUUAUACUUAAAGUAACAUACGGGCGCCUGGUGGCUCAGUCAGUUAAGCGUCUGACUUCCGCUCAGGUUACGAUCUCGCGGUUCGAGGGUUUGAGCCCUGCAUCAGGCUCUGUGCUUACAUCUCAGAGCCUGGAGCCUGCUUCAGAUUCUGUCUUCCUCUCUCUCCGCCCCUCCCUUGCUCAUGCGCUCUCUCUCUCUCUCUCUCUCUCUCUCAAAAAUAGUAAAAAAAAAAAAAAAAAAGAAUAAUAAAGUAACACACACGUCUUUAGAACUGAAUGAAAGCUAAACAUGAUGAGAGCACUUCAAAAUGGGAACAUAGGGCAUGUACACAGCAUAAAGAAUCACAAGAGAUCUUACCUCUUCAUACCUCUCACCCAGGAUACUUAAGGAAACCGGAACAUUUUGUGUUCAUCCAAAUAUGGCAUGCAAUUCAGAUUUAUUCCCUGUGCCAUUCUCUGACAAGAAACUUGUGUCUGUUAAAUUGGAAUAUUUGUCUAAAACCGUAAUGUCCAAUGUUUCCUUACAGUCUGUAAAUUUAGAAUGUUUGGGGUGAAAAUUUUGACAUACCCCCCCAAAAUCAUCAAAAGUGAUGUUGCUUUUCAAAUGCCAUUAUGAAAAAAUGUUAAGGGAAUGGUCAGUAUGUCAGGGGAGUCUGUAAUGGAAUAGCAGAGCUUGUCACUAUUUGACAGCUCUCUUUUCCACCACUGGAUCCAUUCUUAUAACCUAAUCUAACACUUUUCAUGCAGUCUCCUUCCUCUUUAUAUUUCUUUCUCUGUGGCUGCGUAAUACUGGUAAAGUACGUGCCCCAAGAGAUUUUUAAAAACAACAGUUAUGGUUAUAGUCUUCCAGAUUUUUUUUAUGCACAUAAACAAUCAAAAAAUUAGAUGAUAUAACAAUUUCAUAAUCUACGUUUUUGAAGGUAUUGUUAACAGACUUUAUUUUUUAGUACAGUCCCAGACUUACAGAAAUAUUGAGCCUAUAGUACAGAGAGUUCCAUACACCCACGUCCCACUCUGGACAGGUUCUCCACUUACUAACAUCUUGCAUUAAGUAGCAUGUUACAUGUACUACAAUUAAUGAGACAAUAUUGAUACAUUAUUAAGGUGCAUAGUUUCAUUAAGGUCACUCUUUGUUGUAGGUUCUGUGGUUUUUGACAAAUGGAUAAUGACACGUAUCUACCAUUAUAGUAUCAUACAGAAUGGUUUCAGUGCCCUAAAAAUCUCUCCCCGAAAUCCCGGCAACUACUGAUCUUUUUACUCUUGCUAUAGUUUUGUCUUUUCUGGAAUGUCAGAUAGUUGGAAUGAUACAGGAUAUAGCCAUUCAGAUGGGCUUCUUCGCUUAGCAGUAGACAAAGUUCCUCCUCCGUGUCUUUUGUGGCUUGACAGCUCGUUCAUUUUUACUGCUGAAUAACUCCACUGUAUGGAUGUACCAGUUUGUUUCUCGAUUGGUUCGCGUAUUGAAAGACAUUGGUUGCUUCCGGGUUUUGGCGAUGGUGAAUAAAACUGCUUAUAAACAUUUGUGUGCAGGUUUUUGUGUAGACCUGUUUUCAGCUCAGUUGGGUAAAUACCUAGCAGUAUGAUUGCUGUAUCCUAUGCUAAGACUGUUUAGAUUUAUAAGGAACUGAAGCCAUCUUCCAAAGCAGCGGUACCAUUUUGCAUUCCCACCAGCAGGCAGUGGGAGUUCCUGUUACUACAUGCACAUCCUUGUCAUCAUUUGGAAUUGUCUUUUUUUUUUUUUUUUUUAAUAUAGCCAUUCUUGGGGUGCCUGGGUGGCUCGGUUGGUUAAGCAUCCGUGACUCUUGAUCUCGGCUCAAGUCAUGAUCUCAUGAUAAGUGCAAUUGAGCCCCACGUUGGGCCCUGCACUGACAACGGGGCACCUGCUUGGGAUUCUCUCUCUGCUCUCCCCUGCUUGCGUGUGCACACAUGUUCUCUUUCUCUAACUAAAUAAAAACAAAAUAAAAAUGUAGCCAUUCUUCUAGGUGCGUAGUGGUGUUUCACUGUUUUCAUUUGUAAUUCCCUAAUGACUGCAUAGCUGAGUAUCUUUUGUAUAUGCUUAUCUGCCAUCUGCCUGUGUGCCUCUGCGAGGUUUGUGUUCAGAUCUUUUGUUCAUUUUUUAUUUGGGUGGUUUUCUUACUGAGUUUUAAGAGUUCUUUGUAUAUUUUAGAUAACAGGCCUUUAUCAGAUAUGUGUUUUGCAAACAUUUUCUCCUGGUGUGUGGCUUCUGUUGACGGUGUCUUUUGCAGACCAGAAAUUUUUAAAAUUAAUAAAGUCCAGCUUGAUCAUUGUUUUUCUUCCAUGGAUCAUGCUUUUCAUGUUUUAUGUUAAAACUUACAUAUUAUCCAAGGCACCUCGAUUUUCUCCUGUGAUACCAUGUAGAAGUUUCAUAGUUUUGUGUCUUACAUUUAUUUAGACCUAUGAUUCAUUUCAAGUUAAUUUUUGUGAAAGGUAUAGGAUUAAUUAUCUAAUUAAUUAUUAAUAUUGAUAAUGACUAAUUAUCAGUAUUUUUGCAUAUGGAUGUCCAGUGUUCAGUACCAAUGUAGAAAACAGUAUCCUUUCUCCAUUUAAUUUCCUUUGCUGCUUUACCAAACAUGAACCAGUUGACUGUAUUUGUAUGGUUCUAUUUCUGGGCUCUUUUUUUCCCCCCUGUGCUGUAUCGUUUGUUCCCCUGACGUAUUCCAUAACUGGAAGCCUGUGUCUCCCACUGCCCUUCACCCAUUUUGCCCAACCCCCACUCCUCCACCCUUCAGUUUUGUUCUCUGUAUUAUAGGUCUCUGUCUACUUUUUGUUUGUGUAUUCAUUGGUUUUUGUUUUCAAUUUCACUAAUUAGUGAAAUCUUUGAGCUCUCUCCUGUCUUCCACUGAUCAUUUGUCCACAUUGUUUUAGGAUUACUGUAACUUUGUAGAAAGUCUUGAAAUCAGGUAGUGUCCGUUCUCAGGCUUUGUUCUUCUAUAUUGUGUCGGCUCUUCUGGGCUCUUCUGGGUGUUUCGCUUUGCCAAAUAAAUGUUAAAAUCAGUUUGUUGAUAUAUACAAAAUAACUUGUUGAGGUGUUUCUCUAAAAUUGUAUUGAUCGAGUUGGGAAGAAGUGAUACUUUAGCAACAUUGAAUCUUCCUAUUUAUGAAUGUGGAAUCUCUCACCAUUUAUUUAGAUCUUUUUUUUCAUCAGUUUUGUAGUUUUCUUGGCACGUGUUUUGUUAUGUUUAUAUGUAGUUUUUUUCCUGUGUUUUUUUGUUGUAAAAUAUACAUAACAUUAAAUUUA